rnacentral:rRNA from 1 species
AUUGAACGCUGGCGGCAGGCUUAACACAUGCAAGUCGAGCGGGGUGAUGGUGCUUGCACUAUCACUUAGCGGCGGACGGGUGAGUAAUGCUUAGGAAUCUGCCUAUUAGUGGGGGACAACAUCUCGAAAGGGAUGCUAAUACCGCAUACGUCCUACGGGAGAAAGCAGGGGAUCACUUGUGACCUUGCGCUAAUAGAUGAGCCUAAGUCGGAUUAGCUAGUUGGUGGGGGUAAAGGCCUACCAAGGCGACGAUCUGUAGCGGGUCUGAGAGGAUGAUCCGCCACACUGGGACAGAGACACGGCCCAGACUCCUACGGGAGGCAGCAGUGGGGAAUAUUGGACAAUGGGGGGAACCCUGAUCCAGCCAUGCCGCGUGUGUGAAGAAGGCCUUAUGGUUGUAAAGCACUUUAAGCGAGGAGGAGGCUCUUUUGGUUAAUACCCAAGAUGAGUGGACGUUACUCGCAGAAUAAGCACCGGCUAACUCUGUGCCAGCCGCCGCAGUAA